UAUAACAAGGGUCUACUGUACUAAGACUGGAACAAAACACAGAAGAUUAGCUUGGCCCCUGAGCAAGGAUGACAUGAACAUUUGUAAAACAUACUUUCAUAAU